rnacentral:rRNA from 1 species
GGGAGGCAGCAGUGAGGAAUAUUGGUCAAUGGGCGAGAGCCUGAACCAGCCAAGUAGCGUGAAGGAUGACUGCCUAUGGGUUGUAAACUUCUUUUAUAAAGGAAUAAGUCGGGUAUGGAUACCCGUUUGCAUGUACUUUAUGAAUAAGGAUCGGCUAACUCCGUGCCAGCAGCCGCGGUAAUACGGAGGAUCCGAGCGUUAUCCGGAUUUAUUGGGUUUAAAGGGAGCGUAGAUGGAUGUUUAAGUCAGUUGUGAAAGUUUGCGGCUCAACCGUAAAAUUGCAGUUGAUACUGGAUAUCUUGAGUGCAGUUGAGGCAGGCGGAAUUCGUGGUGUAGCGGUGAAAUGCUUAGAUAUCACGAAGAACUCCGAUUGCGAAGGCAGCCUGCUAAGCUGCAACUGACAUUGAGGCUCGAAAGUGUGGGU